GUGUAAUCCAGCACAUAUAAAGACGGGGACCAGAAAAUAAUUACUUUCUCUCCAUUGAAACCCAUUCAUAUUUUUCAAUCUCAGAGGUCCCAUGAGGGGCCUACCGGAAGGGGCGGACUUACGAGCUCUAUGACGCUGCUCUCGAGCGACAUAUAGCUAGGACUGCUAAUCUUACAAGCAUUCUCAAGAUCGAUUGUCGGCAGUUGAUCUAGUCAUUCUAUCGCUGUAACUUUUCUCUCAUGUUGCAAUGGACAAGUUGUUUGACCUGGAUCUCCGUGACCCCCGCACAGAAGGAAGACACCUUGCCAUUGGGUUGAUGCAUGACCAAUUCCUUGCUGAAGCCAUGGAGGCUGCGGAGAAUGUCAAUCGGGCAAGAUCUGGAGGGGAUUCACCACGGAGCUCAACCAAACGGAGCGGACGCGGCAAGGCCAGAGGGAGACGUGAAGGCCGUGCGGGCCAUACAGGCCGUGCAGACCGAUGGAGUGGCCUAACUACAGGCAUGGACACUGAGGUGUUGGCACUUCCUUCAGAGGAUUCCUUGCCCUUACCCAGAGCACAGCAAAAUCCUCAAGAGAUUUUUG